rnacentral:snRNA from 1 species
GUAUGUGAGGGUGAUCUGGCUGCAACAUCUGUUAUCCCACUGAUCUUCAGGGUUGAUUCUGCUGAUAUGACUGACUAGACAGGUGUCCCCAUCCUCCCUCACCAUUCCAUGUGCAUCCCUCCUGAAGCUGUGUGUUCAGCCAAAGAGGAUGACCACCCCCAACAGAGGAGGACCAUUUCCUCAGUCAAGGGUACACGAGUAGCUGUGCUCCCCUGCUAGAACCUCCAAACAAGCUCUUAAGAGUACAUAAGAAAGAAAGAACACUGAAUGCUGCAAGGGAAAGCUGCCAACUUACACAUAGAGGGAAACCCAUUGAAAGAACUGCAGAUUUCU